UUUCAAAACUGCAUCCCUUGAGUAUCGGAGAGGCAAGCGGAAUUCCUAGUGUAGCGGUGAAAUGCGUAGAUAUUAGGAGGAACACCAGUGGCGAAGGCGGCUUGCUGGACGACAACUGACGCUGAGGCGCGAAAGCGUGGGGAGCAAACAGGAUUAGAUACCCUGGUAGUCCACGCUGUAAACGAUGAAUACUAGGUGUGGGAGGACUGACCCCUUCCGUGCCGCAGUUAACACAAUAAGUAUUCCACCUGGGGAGUACGACCGCAAGGUUGAAACUCAAAGGAAUUGACGGGGGCCCGCACAAGCAGUGGAUUAUGUGGUUUAAUUCGACGCAACGCGAAGAACCUUACCAGGAUUUGACAUCCAACUAACGAAGCAGAGAUGCAUUAGGUGCCCUUCGGGGAAAGUUGAGACAGGUGGUGCAUGGUUGUCGUCAGCUCGUGUCGUGAGAUGUUGGGUUAAGUCCCGCAACGAGCGCAACCCCUAUUGUUAGUUGCUACGAAAGAGCACUCUAGCGAGUCUGCCGUUGACAAAACGGAGGAAGGCGGGGGACGACGUCAAAUCAUCAUGCCCCUUAUGUCCUGGGCUACACACGUAAUACAAUGGUGGUAAACAGAGAGAAGCACAACCGCGAGAUAGAGCAAAUCCCUAAAAGCCAUCUCAGUUCGGAUAGCAGGCUGCAACUCUCCUGCAUGAAGCUGGGAAUUGCUAGUAAUCGCGGGAUCAGCAUGCCGCGGGUGAAUACGUUCUCGGGGCGUUGUACACAC
rnacentral:rRNA from 1 species